rnacentral:rRNA from 1 species
AGUGAACGCUGGCCGUAGGCCUAACACAUGCAAGUCGAACGGCAGCACAGUAAGGGCUUGCUCUUACGGGUGGCGAGUGGCGGACGGGUGAGGAAUACAUCGGAAUCUACUUUUUCGUGGGGGAUAACGUAGGGAAACUUACGCUAAUACCGCAUACGACCUACGGGUGAAAGCAGGGGAUCUUCGGACCUUGCGCGAUUGAAUGAGCCGAUGUCGGAUUAGCUAGUUGGCGGGGUAAAGGCCCACCAAGGCGACGAUCCGUAGCUGGUCUGAGAGGAUGAUCAGCCACACUGGAACUGAGACACGGUCCAGACUCCUACGGGAGGCAGCAGUGGGGAAUAUUGGACAAUGGGCGCAAGCCUGAUCCAGCCAUACCGCGUGGGUGAAGAAGGCCUUCGGGUUGUAAAGCCCUUUUGUUGGGAAAGAAAAGCAGCAGGUUAAUACCCCGCUGUUCUGACGGUACCCAAAGAAUAAGCACCGGCUAACUUCGUG